rnacentral:rRNA from 1 species
GACGGCUGUAACUAUAACGGUCCUAAGGUAGCAAAUUUCCUUGUCGUCUUAAUAACGACCUGCAUGAAACAUAGAACGAUUCGAUAGCUGUCUUGCACAAACAUCAUGGUAAAAUAUUCAUCAGUACAAAUAAUAUGCUGCCGAACUAAAGGACAAAAAGACCCUUUGAAGCUUUAUAGGGAUAAAACUUGGGUAACAUCUUGAUCUAAAUAGUCUUAUUGCAUACCAGCUAAAGUAGUACGUCCCUACGUACAGAUUCCUGAUCUCUCCUAAGACCACUGUUUAAUUGGGGCGAUAACCUUAUCAAAAGCCAACUAAGGUGAACAAAGUGAUACAAGGACCCUAGAUACUAAUUUGACCAACUAAUAAGUGCAAAGAUACAUGUUUUGCUUAAUGGCCCAACAAGUCCUUCCCAGUACUUAAAUGCUAUCUUAAUGAGCUUUAAAUUAAUCUACCCGAGUGAAGCUACUCUACGGAUAACAGGCUUAAUUUCCGCAAUAUCGAAGGUCACAUUAUCAAGAAAAAUGCACAUCGAUGUCGGCUUAUCAGAGCAAAAUACGCAGCUAAAUUAUUGGUGGGAGUGCUCAUCCCAUAAUUCGGUAGGUGAGCUGGGUUCAAUACG